rnacentral:rRNA from 1 species
GACGUAGGGGGCAAGCGUUGUCCGGAAUUAUUGGGCGUAAAGAGCGCGUAGGCGGUCCGGUAAGUCGGUUGUGAAAGUCGGGGGCUCAACCCUCGGAUGCCGAUCGAUACUGUCGGGCUAGAGUCCGGAAGAGGCGAGUGGAAUUCCUGGUGUAGCGGUGAAAUGCGCAGAUAUCAGGAGGAACACCAAUGGCGAAGGCAGCUCGCUGGGACGGUACUGACGCUGAGGCGCGAAAGCGUGGGGAGCGAACAGG